rnacentral:rRNA from 1 species
AGGUAAAACGCCGGCGGUCUGCUUAACACAUGCAAGUUGUACGAAGGUAUUUUUUCUCUCGGGAAAAAGUAUACUGAGUGGCGGACGGGUGAGUAACACGUAAGAACCUACCUUUUGGAAAGGGACAACUAUUGGAAACGAUAGCUAAUACCUUAUAUUGCUGAGAAGUGAAAAAUGAAAAUUGCCAAGAGAUGGGCUUGCGCCUGAUUAGCUAGUUGGUGUGGUAAAGGCAUACCAAGGCAAUGAUCAGUAGCUGUUCUGAGAGGAUGAUCAGCCACACUGGGACUGAGACACGGCCCAGACUCCUACGGGAGGCAGCAGUGAGGAAUUUUCCGCAAUGGGCGAAAGCCUGACGGAGCAAUGCCGCGUGAAGGAUGAAGGCCUAUGGGUUGUAAACUUCUUUUCUCAGAAAAGAAUUAUGACGGUAUCUGAGGAAUAAGCAUCGGCUAACUCUGUGCCAGCAGC